rnacentral:tRNA from 4 species
GGUGAGGUGGCCGAGUGGUCGAAGGCGCACGCCUGGAAAGUGUGUAUACGGCAACGUAUCGAGGGUUCGAAUCCCUCCCUCACCGCCA